GACUGGAAAAUAAUUAAUCCGACUUAGCUGUCAAAAAAUUACCUUUUCAUAAUUUAUCUUUUGUAGAAACAAAGAGUGGAGAGCUAAUGCAUGGUGCUAAGUAUGGAAAGGUCUCUUGUGGUUUGGUUGUGCCAGAGACAAAUGUGCAUUAUUUCCAUGUUGGGUCAGAAGUCUCGGUACACUUUAGGUGAGUGGCAGUUGGGAAGAUGGAUGACCUUCAGAUAGUUUGAGAUGAAGAAGUUCUUUUAAAUGAUUGAAAGUGAUCAUCAUAGAAUCAACUCCAUUAUGAAGAUAAAUUAUGAGAGUCAGCACUCCUUUUGUCCAACACCUGAGAGAUCUGAGUACCCAGCCUACUGUUGAAUUAAUUGGUGACCAAGAAAAGAUGACAGAGAGGGGAAUCAAAUAUGGAUGCCAUCAUGAUCAAGA